GAUGAACGCUGGCGGCGUGCCUAAUACAUGCAAGUCGAGCGAACAGACGAGGAGCUUGCUCCUCUGACGUUAGCGGCGGACGGGUGAGUAACACGUGGAUAACCUACCUAUAAGACUGGGAUAACUUCGGGAAACCGGAGCUAAUACCGGAUAAUAUAUUGAACCGCAUGGUUCAAUAGUGAAAGACGGUUUUGCUGUAACUUAUAGAUGGAUCCGCGCUGCAUUAGCUAGUUGGUAAGGUAACGGCUUACCAAGGCAACGAUGCGUAGCCGACCUGAGAGGGUGAUCGGCCACACUGGAGCUGAGACACGGUCCAGACUCCUACGGGAGGCAGCAGUAGGGAAUCUUCCGCAAUGGGCGAAAGCCUGACGGAGCAACGCCGCGUGAGUGAUGAAGGUCUUCGGAUCGUAAAACUCUGUUAUUAGGGAAGAACAAAUGUGUAAGUAACUGUGCACGUCUUGACGGUACCUAAUCAGAAAGCCACGGCUAACUACGUG
rnacentral:rRNA from 1 species